CCGUGCGUUAAAUCCAACUGCCAGACUUUCAAUUUGCUCCAGCAAAUUGUAAACGCCACAACACCGAAACCCUCUGCGCUGACUGGAGCUACUUUUGCUUCCUGUGGCCGUUCAUAUUUUGUAGGAUCGCAAGCAGCGACGGUUUCGUCAGCGUCCUUGAAUUGCAAGGCUAAAAAUUUGAGUCUUGUUUCCAUCGGAUCGACAGA